UACAGAGGUCCCAAGCGUUGUUCGGAUUCAUUGGGCGUAAAGGGUGCGUAGGCGGCGCGGUAAGUCGGGUGUGAAAUCUCGGGGCUUAACUCCGAAACUGCAUUCGAUACUGCCGUGCUUGAGGACUGGAGAGGAGACUGGAAUUUACGGUGUAGCGGUGAAAUGCGUAGAUAUCGUAAGGAAGACCAGUGGCGAAGGCGGGUCUCUGGACAGUUCCUGACGCUGAGGCACGAAGGUCAGGGGAGCAAACGGU
rnacentral:rRNA from 1 species